rnacentral:misc_RNA from 1 species
UUUCCGUAGGUGAACCUGCGGAAGGAUCAUUAUUGUAUAACCGAGGUGCGAGGGCUUUCGCUGACCCGUAAGGUCGUGAACGCCCGAGUGCCCUCACACACAUCCAUCUCACCCCUAUGUGCACCACCGCGUGGGUCCCCCUUUGGCUUGUUCGGAGGGGGGCUUACGUUUUCACACAAACUUUGUAUGCAGUGUAGAAUGUAUUUUUUGUGUUUGCGAUCACGCAAUCAAUACAACUUUCAACAACGGAUCUCUUGGCUCUC